GACGAACGCUGGCGGCGUGCCUAAUACAUGCAAGUAGAACGCUGAAGAGAGGAGCUUGCUCUUCUUGGAAGAGUUGCGAACGGGUGAGUAACGCGUAGGUAACCUGCCUUGUAGCGGGGGAUAACUAUUGGAAACGAUAGCUAAUACCGCAUAACAAUGGGUGACCCAUGUCAUUCAUUUGAAAGGGGCAACUGCUCCACUACAAGAUGGACCUGCGUUGUAUUAGCUAGUAGGUGAGGUAACGGCCCACCUAGGCGACGAUACAUAGCCGACCUGAGAGGGUGAUCGGCCACACUGGGACUGAGACACGGCCCAGACUCCUACGGGAGGCAGCAGUAGGGAAUCUUCGGCAAUGGGGGCAACCCUGACCGAGCAACGCCGCGUGAGUGAAGAAGGUUUUCGGAUCGUAAAGCUCUGUUGUAAGUCAAGAACGAGUGUGAGAGUGGAAAGUUCACACUGUGACGGUAGCUUACCAGAAAGGGACGGCUAACUACGUGCCAGCAGCCGCGGUAAUACGUAGGUCCCGAGCGUUGUCCGGAUUUAUUGGGCGUAAAGCGAGCGCAGGCGGUUUGAUAAGUCUGAAGUUAAAGGCUGUGGCUCAACCAUAGUUCGCUUUGGAAACUGUCAAACUUGAGUGCAGAAGGGGAGAGUGGAAUUCCAUGUGUAGCGGUGAAAUGCGUAGAUAUAUGGAGGAACACCGGUGGCGAAAGCGGCUCUCUGGUCUGUAACUGACGCUGAGGCUCGAAAGCGUGGGGAGCGAACAGG
rnacentral:rRNA from 1 species